UUGACGUGUUUUGGUUUGGUUUGGUUGAAAGGCUGAACUAGCUUGCCAGAGGGAAUUCAGAGGAAACCAGAACAUUUUCCCAAAGAGAGGAGAAAUAAACUAAUUCCUUAUGAAAGUUGCUGGAUGGACAAGUCCUGGAGGAACUGUAGUGGAUUCCUCUGCCUUUCUUCACUCCUAGGCUGGUCCCCUGCAUGUGUCUCACACAUAAGGAACUUUGGUUGAUCACUAUCCAUCUUUUCUGUUGAGGACAUCUAAGGUUUAACAAAGGAUGUAUUUUCUUUACUCUUCAGUCUGGAUUUCUCUCUUUCAGUGUGAGAAGAUUAAACCUGAAAGACUGUGUGUUGAAGUCCAUGCUUAUAUCACUGUUAAGCUUGCAAAUGGGAAAAUGAGAGAGGCUACUUUUGUCACUCAUGAGCUACAUGUAUUUUGUA